rnacentral:rRNA from 1 species
GACGUAGGGCGCGAGCGUUGUCCGGAUUUAUUGGGCGUAAAGAGCUCGUAGGCGGCUUGUCGCGUCGACUGUGAAAACUAGGGGCUUAACUCCGGGCCUGCAGUGGGUACGGGCAGACUAGAGUGCGGUAGGGGAGACUGGAAUUCCUGGUGUAGCGGUGAAAUGCGCAGAUAUCAGGAGGAACACCGGUGGCGAAGGCGGGUCUCUGGGCCGUAACUGACGCUGAGGAGCGAAAGCGUGGGGAGCGAACAGG